rnacentral:rRNA from 1 species
AUUGAACGCUGGCGGCAGGCCUAACACAUGCAAGUCGAACGGUAACAGGAAGCAGCUUGCUGCUUCGCUGACGAGUGGCGGACGGGUGCGUAAUGUCUGGGAAACUGCCUGAUGGAGGGGGAUAACUACUGGAAACGGUAGCUAAUACCGCAUAACGUCGCAAGACCAAAGAGGGGGCCCUUCGGGCCUCUUGCCAUCGGCUUUGCCCAGGUGGGAUUAGCUAGUAGGUGGGGUAACGGCUCACCUAGGCGACGAUCCCUAGCUGGUCUGAGAGGAUGACCAGCCACACUGGAACUGAGACACGGUCCAGACUCCUACGGGAGGCAGCAGUGGGGAAUAUUGCACAAUGGGCGCAAGCCUGAUGCAGCCAUGCCGCGUGUAUGAAGAAGGCCUUCGGGUUGUAAAGUACUUUCAGCGGGGAGGAAGGCGAUAAGGUUAAUAACCUUGUCGAUUGACGUUACCCGCAGAAGAAGCACCGGCUAACUCCGUGCCAGCCGCCGCGGUAA